UAAAAAAAACCACAUUUUCAAAGUUGAGUCACCAGUUGCUUUUAUUCUGCUCACUGCUGGGUGCUGCUGCAUGGUGGAAGCUGCGGAGCUUGUGCAGCAGACUCCGCUCUGCUCAAGGACGAGGGGGUAGCAGAGAGAAGAUGUCCCAGAGUCCUUAGGAGGCCAGUGAGUGUGCCCGGCCAGCAGGGUGGCAGAUUGCCUGGUGGCUUUGUGCUGCCAGAAUGCAGCUGGAGGAGGAGCAGAAACUGCAUCUAGAGCACAGGCUGGCCUGGCUGAGGAGAGAACUGCUGUCACGAGAGGUUCCCACUCACUUCAAUGACACCUACUGCAGGUCGAUCACUCAGGACUAAUGUGGGUAUGAUGAGCAGCUUAUCCCUCUCCCAGUGAAACCCUUGUGGAAGGAAGGACAAGUACCCAUGCCGGGAACCAGUCAUCCCCCAUAAAGAAAUGCAGCGUUUGAUCUGCCACACUGCAGAUGCUGUAAGCACCCGGCCCGAUCCGCUGCUCAGUGUUCCUGCCAGUUAGAUGUUUGCUGAUUGACACAGCACCUCUGAGUCUCCUCACCAAGCUAUAUUGGAUUCCCUACAUUAGUUCUUCCAGCCCAUGUUUCCCUUCUACAAAUUGUCUUCUGUUUCUUGGUACAUUCUACAGGAGGUUCCCAGAAGUGCACUAGGUUCUCUUCUCACACUGGUGUAAAGUUGAUGUAAAUGAGAAAACCAGGCUCACUGGGUUUAAAUCAGACCAUUCAAAGUACUUGGGCUGAAAGGAAAAAGGAAAAAACCCUAUCUUUUGAAAUGUUUGCAAGAAACUAAAUUACAUCAUCAACAUAAGAGAGACACGGUGGGCAAGGUAAUAUCUUUUAUGGGACCAACUUCUGUUGGUGAGAGAGAAGCUUUUGAACUUACAGAGCUCUUCUUCAGGGCUGGGAUAGUACUCAGAAUCACAGCUAAAUACAAGG